GAGAUUAGGGUGCUAGGAUGCUAGUAGGUGGGGACUGAAGAAGGAAAGGAAAACCUGUUUCUGGACAUCCAUAAGAUACCUUAAAACAGAAACAAAACAAAACAACAACAAGUCCCUUCAACAGUUAUAAAAUUGCUUUUGGUUGUCACCUGAAUGAAAUUUUUAGUUGGGAAAGUUGGAAUUACAAUUCUAAUGUAGUUUCUAUUUAAGAAACAAAGUGAGAAAACUAACAUAUCACCACAGAAGACUAUUGAAUGGUGUUCUGCUAUGUUAAAUAGUUGAGUCAUAUGCAGGCUAUUGUCAGUCAGUUAACCAUGCAUUAGUUACUACUUUAUUCAGCCUAAUAUUGUAGUAUUAGCAUUUGGGAAGAUGGGAAAUAGAGAAAGUCUUAGAACGGAAGUGGAGACAUGUUGCUAUUUAUGUGUAAAGAUAAAAUAUCAAACUGUAAGGUAUCAAGAACUGUGUGUUAUGUAAUUUAAAUCGAGUCCAUGAGAAGGCUGUGCUGUAGAGUGAGGGAACCAGCCUAACUUACAAGACUUGAUUUAGUGUUGACUUGGGAGGGUAAUGUGCAGGAUUAUUAAGGGAGCAGGAGAACUCACUUCCUAGUGGUUGGGUUAGUACAAAGUGGUAAUUUGGUGGGACCAAAGGGCCUAUACAUUUUGAGAAAAGAGAAGUUGGCUUAACUAGUUGCCAUUCCAGAAUUCAUAUUUACAAACUAUUAUCUUGGAGCUGAGUUUUUGGGGUCACAGUCAGACAUUAUCACUUACUAGCUUGGUAGAUAUGAGAGAAUUACCCAGUGCCCCCCCCCCCCCCCCGCCCCACACUGCUCUUAAUCUGUUAGGUAAUAGCUCCUUGUAAGUUUGUUAUGAGGGUCAGAGGGGCUCAUAAAUGGAAAGCCUCAGGAACGGCACGUGCUCUGCUGCAGGCGGUGGUAGAAUGAGUUGUUGCUGAGGAGGAACCUGGGUAAGGGAAACGUUUAUCCAGGAGGUUGCACUAAUUUAGAGAUGCUAUUACUAAGGUUUGAAUUUAACCACAGUGUGUGUGGGAACUAGGCU
rnacentral:lncRNA from 1 species